rnacentral:rRNA from 1 species
UACGUAGGUGGCGAGCGUUGUCCGGAAUUACUGGGUGUAAAGCGCGUGUAGGCGGGAGGCCAAGUCUGUGGUGAAAUCGCUCGGCUUAACUGGGCGGGGUCCAUGGAAACUGGUCACCUGGAGGUCGGUAGAGGCAAGUGGAAUUCCCGGUGUAGUGGUGAAAUGCGUAGAGAUCGGGAGGAACACCAGUGGCGAAGGCGGCUUGCUGGGCCACAACUGACGCUGAGGCGCGAAAGCUAGGGGAGCAAACAGG